rnacentral:rRNA from 1 species
CCUACGGGAGGCAGCAGUGGGGAAUCUUAGACAAUGGGCGCAAGCCUGAUCUAGCCAUGCCGCGUGAGUGACGAAGGCCCUAGGGUCGUAAAGCUCUUUCGCCUGUGAUGAUAAUGACAGUAGCAGGUAAAGAAACCCCGGCUAACUCCGUGCCAGCAGCCGCGGUAAUACGGAGGGGGUUAGCGUUGUUCGGAAUUACUGGGCGUAAAGCGCGCGUAGGCGGAUUGGAAAGUUGGGGGUGAAAUCCCAGGGCUCAACCCUGGAACUGCCUCCAAAACUUCCAGUCUGGAGUUCGAGAGAGGUGAGUGGAAUUCCGAGUGUAGAGGUGAAAUUCGUAGAUAUUCGGAGGAACACCAGUGGCGAAGGCGGCUCACUGGCUCGAUACUGACGCUGAGGUGCGAAAGUGUGGGGAGCAAACAGGAUUAGAUACCCUGGUAGUCCACACCGUAAACGAUGAAUGCCAGUCGUCGGCAAGCAUGCUUGUCGGUGACACACCUAACGGAUUAAGCAUUCCGCCUGGGGAGUACGGCCGCAAGGUUAAAACUCAAAGGAAUGACG